AGCAGCCGCGGUAAUUCCAGCUCCAAUAGCGUAUAUUAAAGUUGUUGCAGUUAAAAAGCUCGUAGUUGAAUUUCGGGAUCAAUACGUCGGUCGUGCUUUCGGGUACGUACUGGCGUCAUUGGUUUCUCCUUUCUGACGAGCCAUGAUGUCAUUAAUUUGGUGUUAUGGGGAGUUAGGACUGUUACUUUGAAAAAAUUAGAGUGUUUAAAGCAGGCAUUAGCUUGAAUACAUUAGCAUGGAAUAAUGAAAUAGGACGUUCGAUCCUAUUUUGUUGGUUUCUAGGAUCAACGUAAUGAUUAAUAGGGAUAGUUGGGGGCAUUAGUAUUCAAUUGUCAGAGGUGAAAUUCUUGGAUUUAUUGAAGACUAACUACUGCGAAAGCAUUUGCCAAGGAUGUUUUCAUUAAUCAAGAACGAAAGUUAGGGGAUCGAAGACGAUCAGAUACCGUCGUA
rnacentral:rRNA from 1 species